GAAUUCGCCCUUAGAGUUUGAUCCUGGCUCAGGAUGAACGCUAGCUACAGGCUUAACACAUGCAAGUCGAGGGGCAGCGGGAUUGAAGCUUGCUUCAAUUGCCGGCGACCGGCGCACGGGUGAGUAACGCGUAUCCAACCUUCCGUACACUCAGGGAUAGCCUUUCGAAAGAAAGAUUAAUACCUGAUGGUAUGAUGAGAUUGCAUGAUAGCAUCAUUAAAGAUUUAUCGGUGUACGAUGGGGAUGCGUUCCAUUAGGUAGUAGGCGGGGUAACGGCCCACCUAGCCAACGAUGGAUAGGGGUUCUGAGAGGAAGGUCCCCCACAUUGGAACUGAGACACGGUCCAAACUCCUACGGGAGGCAGCAGUGAGGAAUAUUGGUCAAUGGACGAGAGUCUGAACCAGCCAAGUAGCGUGAAGGAUGAAGGUCCUACGGAUUGUAAACUUCUUUUAUAAGGGAAUAAACCCUCCCACGUGUGGGAGCCUGUAUGUACCUUAUGAAUAAGCAUCGGCUAACUCCGUGCCAGCAGCCGCGGUAAUACGGAGGAUGCGAGCGUUAUCCGGAUUUAUUGGGUUUAAAGGGAGCGCAGACGGGUCGUUAAGUCAGCUGUGAAAGUUUGGGGCUCAACCUUAAAAUUGCAGUUGAUACUGGCGUCCUUGAGUGCGGUUGAGGUGUGCGGAAUUCGUGGUGUAGCGGUGAAAUGCUUAGAUAUCACGAAGAACUCCGAUUGCGAAGGCAGCACACUAAUCCGUAACUGACGUUCAUGCUCGAAAGUGUGGGUAUCAAACAGGAUUAGAUACCCUGGUAGUCCACACGGUAACCGAUGGAUACUCGCUGUUGGCGAUAUACUGUCAGCGGCUUAGCGAAAGCGUUAAGUAUCCCACCUGGGGAGUACGCCGGCAACGGUGA
rnacentral:rRNA from 1 species